AAGGGAGCUUGCUCCCGGAUGUUAGCGGCGGACGGGUGAGUAACACGUGGGUAACCUGCCUGUAAGACUGGGAUAACUCCGGGAAACCGGAGCUAAUACCGGAUAGUUCCUUGAACCGCAUGGUUCAAGGAUGAAAGACGGUUUCGGCUGUCACUUACAGAUGGACCCGCGGCGCAUUAGCUAGUUGGUGGGGUAAUGGCUCACCAAGGCGACGAUGCGUAGCCGACCUGAGAGGGUGAUCGGCCACACUGGGACUGAGACACGGCCCAGACUCCUACGGGAGGCAGCAGUAGGGAAUCUUCCGCAAUGGACGAAAGUCUGACGGAGCAACGCCGCGUGAGUGAUGAAGGUUUUCGGAUCGUAAAGCUCUGUUGUUAGGGAAGAACAAGUGCGAGAGUAACUGCUCGCACCUUGACGGUACCUAACCAGAAAGCCACGGCUAACUACGUGCCAGCAGCCGCGGUAAUACGUAGGUGGCAAGCGUUGUCCGGAAUUAUUGGGCGUAAAGGGCUCGCAGGCGGUUUCUUAAGUCUGAUGUGAAAGCCCCCGGCUCAACCGGGGAGGGUCAUUGGAAACUGGGAAACUUGAGUGCAGAAGAGGAGAGUGGAAUUCCACGUGUA
rnacentral:rRNA from 1 species